rnacentral:rRNA from 1 species
GACGAACGCUGGCGGCGUGCUUAACACAUGCAAGUCGAACGGAAAGGCCCUGCUUUUGUGGGGUGCUCGAGUGGCGAACGGGUGAGUAACACGUGAGUAACCUGCCCUUGACUUUGGGAUAACUUCAGGAAACUGGGGCUAAUACCGGAUAGGAGCUCCUGCUGCAUGGUGGGGGUUGGAAAGUUUCGGCGGUUGGGGAUGGACUCGCGGCUUAUCAGCUUGUUGGUGGGGUAGUGGCUUACCAAGGCUUUGACGGGUAGCCGGCCUGAGAGGAUGACCUGCCACAUUGGGACUGAGAUACGGCCCAGACUCCUACGGGAGGCAGCAGUGGGGAAUAUUGCACAAUGGGCGGAAGCCUGAUGCAGCAACGCCGCGUGCGGGAUGACGGCCUUCGGGUUGUAAACCGCUUUCGCCUGUGACGAAGCGUGAGUGACGGUAAUGGGUAAAGAAGCACCGGCUAACUACGUG